AGAGAGCUAGGCCCCCCCGCCUCACCCACUCACCUUCCUUGCGGCGGAGGAAGUGUACGGGGGGAUUAAAUCUAACGUAAACUAACCUAAUGUAAUGGUGGGGGAGAACGAUGAAACCCAACGUAAACUAACAUAAUGCAAUGGGAGGACGAAACCUUACGUAAACUACUCUAUAGGUGGGGGGUGGGAGAGAAUUAAACCCAAUGUUUUCUAAGAAUUUUAUCAUAGGCUACCAGACGCUUAGGUAAGCAUAUUUCCAACAUCAAAGGUAUCGUAAUAUUAUAUCGCUCAUAAGCGUCUGUAAUUUUAUAUGAGAACAAUUGCGUUGCUGUCUGUGUGUUAUUAAUAUUAAAUGUACAAAUAAUUUCUAAGAAUUUUAUUGUCGGCUAUCAGACUCUUAGGUGAUCAUGUUUCCAACAUCAAAUGUACAAGUAAUGCCUAAGAAUUUUAUCAUCUGCUACCAGACGCUUAGGUAAGCAUAUUUCCAACAUCAAAGGUACCACCGUACAGUAACAAUGAUUGUCGUAUGUAUUUUAUACAAUAUUUUAAACAUUACUCUACUGAUCCAUAAAACAUUGCUAUAUCACAUAUAUCGUUAAACGAACGCCGCCGCCUCACACCGCCCACCAUCCGUCCGGACUGGUAGAGAAUAGGUGUAGCUAAAUAUGCUUCUAAAAUUAGACGUUAAAUAGAAAUUAUGAUAAAUAUUUUUAUAAGAACAUUGCUAUAAUCGGUUACCAGACGCUUAGGUAAGCAUAGUUCCAACAUCAAAGGUACCACCGUUCAGUAACAAUGAUUAUCGUAUGUAUUUUAUGAGAAAAUAUGUCACCACUGGUGGUGUUUCACGCCUACGCAUUUUAUUCUUUACUAUACCAUCAAAUGUACAGCUAUAAUUUCUAAGAAUUCUAUCAUCGACUACCAGACGCUUAGGUAAUCAUAUUUCCUCAUAUUAUCUAGAAGUGAUAAAAGAAAAAUACGAAACUUGUAACUUGCUAUCAAUGCAGAGUAAAGAAAUCAAUAAAAAAGCAAAGGAUAUGGUGAUAAAUAAGUUUUAUUUGUUACCUGAAAAUUUAGUCUAUUCAAUUGUAAAAACCAUUAAUACGUCGUUAUUACCAAAGACGUCGAUGGUAUUGUAUAAUGAAAUAAUCACAUUCGAUUACAAAUGCAUAGUGAAGCGUAUAUGGGAGAAAUUCGUAGUGGAUUUUAAUAAUCAAACAAAUCAGAAUAUUUUAAACACAAUGAAUAAUUGUGCAGUGAACGGAAAUAAUACCAAUUUAUAUCAAUCAAAGUAUCAAUGAGAUAACGACAAUGAUGAAGAGUAUCCUAAUAACGGUGUAAUGCAUUCAUUUGAACAAAUUGAAAAAAUGGGGAUGCUGAAACGAUAUUUUUGAUUUUAUGGAUGAAAAAAUUGCAGUAAUAAUGGAGAAAAAAAAUCCUGAAAACAUUUGAAUGUGUCAUUUGUAAAAAUGUUGUUUAUGAAAAUAAAAUAAAAAUUAUUAUAAUCUCAUACUUGUUGAUUAUUUUAUAGUGAUCUCAAAUGAUAAUUUCUCACGAUGCAUAAUAUUUUAAAAAUAAAAAUUAAACGAUAACAGAUAGAACGAUGAUUAAAUAUCUAAUAGACUUUUACUUCAUGUAAAAUGGAAGUGACACAGUUAGCAUUUAAAUAAAGUGCAAUCAGCAAAUUUCAAAACCGUUAAUCAUCUCUUGUAACCCACUCCAGCAAAUAUUUUGAAAGUGUCAAUAAAUUUUCAUCCAAUCGCAGAGUAAUUAAAAAUGAUAAAUCAUCAUUUUAAAAAUCAUGCUAUAAAAUUGAACGAGAGUCUGUGUGAUCACAGUCAUCGAGUAAAAGGGUAUAAGCGAAGAAUUUUUAAAAAUUACUACAUAAUAUGAAAACUGAACCGCUGUCUCCAGUACUUGGUGAAUACGAAUUUGCUAAUAUUCUAAAUAAUAUAAAAAUUUAACAAUUUUCACAAGAUAUGUCUCAAGAAUUAUUGCCUGAUAUUUGGAGUAUGGUUGAUUAUUACAUAAAUAUCGAAAAUCGACCACAGCCCAACCCAAUCCAAUAUUCCAUGAUUGACGCAGAACAAAAUCAAACUCAGAUUCAUGAUAAGGUAUGUGUUUAAUAUAUAUUUUUUUUUUUUAUAAUUUUAUUAUGAUUUAAUUAUAAUUAUAGAAUCAAUUGUAUAAAGACGGCGCUUGUAUUCAUUCCGGUUCACAUUCGUAAUAUAUAUUAUAUUAUUAUAGGUGAUCAUAUUUCCAUUAUCAAAGGUAUUACUAUACUAUAACACUCAUAAGCAUUUGUAUUUUAUGAAAAUAAUUACGAUGCCG